GUGAGCCGUGUGAUGGGAAACCUUCCUGCACGGUUUGGAGAGAACUAAAUUAGAAUGAGAGGAUUACCACUACAUCAUUGCAUGCAAGGGGAGCUUGCUUGAUUCACAGAUUGGCCUGACUCGUAAUUCACUUUUAACCCUAU
rnacentral:ncRNA from 1 species